CCUACGGGAGGCUGCAGUAGGGAAUCUUCCACAAUGGGCGCAAGCCUGAUGGAGCAACACCGCGUGAGUGAAGAAGGGUUUCGGCUCGUAAAGCUCUGUUGUUGGAGAAGAACGUGCGUGAGAGUAACUGUUCACGCAGUGACGGUAUCCAACCAGAAAGUCACGGCUAACUACGUGCCAGCAGCCGCGGUAAUACGUAGGUGGCAAGCGUUAUCCGGCUUUAUUGGGCGUAAAGCGAGCGCAGGCGGUUGCUUAGGUCUGAUGUGAAAGCCUUCGGCUUAACCGAAGAAGUGCAUCGGAAACCGGGCAACUUGAGGGCAGAAGAGGACAGUGGAACUCCAUGUGUAGCGGUGGAAUGCGUAGAUAUAUGGAAGAACACCAGUGGCGAAGGCGGCUGUCUGGUCUGCAACUGACGCUGAGGCUCGAAAGCAUGGGUAGCGAACAGGAUUAGAUACCCUGGUAGUC
rnacentral:rRNA from 1 species